rnacentral:rRNA from 1 species
UACGGAAGGCAGCAGUGGGGAAUAUUGUACAAUGGGCGAAAGCCUGAUGCAGCUAUGCCGCGUGUAUGAAGAAGGCCUUAGGGUUGUAAAGUACUUUCAUCGGGGAGGAAAAAACAAAACUAAUAAUUUUAUUUCUUGACGUUACCCGAAAAAGAAGCACCGGCUAACUCCGUGCCGGCAGCCGCGGUAAUACGGAGGGUGCUAGCGUUAAUCAGAAUUACUGGGCGUAAAGAGCACGUAGGUGGUUUUUUAAAGUCAGAUGUGAAAUCCCUGGGCUUAACCUAGGAACUGCAUUUUUGAAACUGAAAUACUAGAGUAUCGUAGAGGGAGGUAGAAUUCUAGGUGUAGCGGUGAAAUGCGUAGAUAUCUGGAGGAAUACCUGUGGCGAAAGCGGCCUCCUAAACGAAUACUGACACUGAGGGUGCGAAAGCGUGGGGAGCAAACAGGGAUUAGAUACC